UACGUAGGGUGCGAGCGUUAAUCGGAAUCACUGGGCGUAAAGGGUGCGUAGGCGGGUCUUUUAAGUCAGAGGUGAAAUCCUGGAGCUCAACUCCAGAACUGCCUUCGAUACUGAGAGUCUCGAGUCCGGGAGAGGUGAGUGGAACUGCGAGUGUAGAGGUGAAAUUCGUAGAUAUUCGCAAGAACACCAGUGGCGAAGGCGGCUCACUGGCCCGAUACUGACGCUGAGGUGCGAAAGCGUGGGGAGCAAACAGG
rnacentral:rRNA from 1 species